rnacentral:ncRNA from 1 species
GGAACAUAAUUAUUUAAGUUAAGUAAAGGUGGCCCUGCAGACACACGCAUGGAAAGAAACUGAGUUUCAGCCCUAGAGAUAUUAAGAACGUCAGGAUAAGUACUGGUGAACAGCGGGGGUAACUAUGACUCUCUUAAGGUAGCCAAAUACCUCCUCAUCUAAUUAAUGACGUGCAUGAAUGGCUGAACGAAAUUCC